rnacentral:misc_RNA from 1 species
AGAUCCGCCUCCAUCGCAGCCAGAAGCAAGAAGCUGUCUUCCCGCCCCCGCGUGCCUACAAUCAGCCCCAGUCUCCCUGGGAAACCGACGAGCGCACCUGAGCUGGGUUCUGAGCUCCAGCGUUUUGGGGCUAGAAGUUGCGGACUAGUAGCUGAGGCGGCACGGGAGUGUAGGCGCGCGGGGUCGUUGCCGGGGGCACAGAGUGAGAACAAGCAAGGGAGCCCUGCUGAAUUGCAGCUUAGGAAGCCCUGAAUCCUGGAGGCUGGAGUCCAAUGAUGCGAUCUCGGCUCACCGCAACCUCCGCCUUCAGGGUUCAAGCAAUUCUCCUGCCUCAGCCUCCCGAGUAGCUGGGAUUACAG